CCAGACUCCUACGGAGGCAGCAGUGAGGAAUAUUGGUCAAUGGCCGAGAGGCUGAACCAGCCAAGUCGCGUGAGGGAAGAAUGUCCUAAGGAUUGUAAACCUCUUUUGUCGGGGAGCAAAAAGGCUCUGCGGAGUCGUAUUGAGAGUACCCGAAGAAAAAGCAUCGGCUAACUCCGUGCCAGCAGCCGCGGUAAUACGGAGGAUGCGAGCGUUAUCCGGAUUUAUUGGGUUUAAAGGGUGCGCAGGCGGAGGCACAAGUCAGCGGUAAAAUCGCGGGGCUCACCCCCGCUCCGCCGUUGAAACUGGCAGUCUCGAGUUGGAGAGAAGUAUGCGGAAUGCGCGGUGUAGCGGUGAAAUGCAUAGAUAUCACGCAGAACUCCGAUUGCGAAGGCAGCAUACCGGCGCUCAACUGACGCUCAUGCACGAAAGCGUGGGUAUCGAACGGGAUUAGAUACCCCCGUAC
rnacentral:rRNA from 1 species